GACUCCGCCCAAUGGAUAAGGCGCUGGUCUACGAAACCAGAGAUUCUGGUUUCGAUUCCCAGUGGAGUCG
rnacentral:tRNA from 1 species